UGGAAGAGGAGGAGGCCCCCGACAUCGGCAUAUACCACUGCCCAAACUAUGAGAAAACCCAUGUGAAGUCCACCUUGUUAAAGACAUAGUGGCCCAUGUGCCGGACAGUCAGCUCACGCUGGGCCACAUGGAGGAGCACAGCUUCACCGAGCCCAUCCUCAUCCCUAAGAAAGACGGGCUGGGCUUGGCUGUCCCGGCCCCCACGUUCCAUGCAGGCCAGGCGUCCUGUGUUUUCAUUUGCUAAUCUGGCCACCCUCGCUAAGGCCUGUCACCUGGCCACCUCGCAGCAUCACCAGGUCAGAGGAAGAGUGGUCGGGGCACUUCACUGAGCCAAGAGAAAAGCAGGGGACAUCAAAAAGGGAGUCCCAGGUUCCCUCACCACCUUCCUGUCCCACCCCAAGAAUGUCCAGCUUCGUGGAGCCACCUGACACCAUGAAGAAACUGUUCCGGGUAGAAAACUGGCCAGAUGAUGCAUUGCUGGCCAAGCCCAAAGUGACCAAGUCCUGCCUGAUCUGUGUGAAGGACAGCUACACCGACUUCCACAUCGACUGUGGGGGCGCCUCCGCCUGGUACCACGUGCUCAAGGGGGAGAAGACCUUCUAUCUCAUCAGGCUGGCCUCGGUCGACAUCUCCUGUAUGAGUGCUGAUAGUCUGCCGCUAACCACAGCGAGAUGUUCUUUGCUGACCAGGUUCACAAAUGCUACAAUUGCAUCGUCAAGCAGGGCCAGACCCUCUUCAUCCCCUCAGGCACUGACAGAGCUCUCGUGGGCCCCGAGCCCUGCAGCCUCCCAGGGCGGUUGUCCCCUGGUCCACUUCAGCUAUGCAGGGCCCAGUGGGGAAGCCUGAGCUGGUGUGUCUGGGGCUUGGACCCACCCCCAUCGUCGCCUGCUUGAUGGUCAGUGCACUGAGAAUGGCUCUUUGGUGGCUUCCAGAGCAUAUGAAGUUGAAAAGAGGUUGAAACUAGGCAGCCUGACUCAGUUUCCCAACUUCAAAACUGCCUGCUGGUACAUGGGGAAGCACCUGCUGGAGGCGUUCAAAGG
rnacentral:lncRNA from 1 species